UACCCAUUUGACUGUUUGUCGAUUGAGCAAAUAUUUGUCAUUUUUUGUCAAAUAUAUUUGACGAAUAAUGUAAUGACCAAAUAAGUUUGGCCAAAUAAGUAAGGGGAAAUAUUUGGUCGUUAUUUGUCAUACAUAGACAAAUAAUCGCCUACUAGUCGUAAGCCAAACAUUUUUGCUCAUGACAUUUGGAUAGUUGGAGCUGGAGCGAAGAGGAGCGAAGCCAUCUGCAUCCUGUGGACCAACAUGGACUAAAGUUUUGUUGGCUUGAACUGUGAUUAACCUAGCUGAUGAUUGUUUGGCGCUGAAAACGUUCGGUAUUUCUGAAUCUUCAACCGACGCAGAUCAAUCCGAACUCGUCGAACAUUGGCCUUCAGAAAUGAUCUCAUCGGGAAGUGGCUGAGAGAGACCGAUAACUCUCAGAGUUCAUCCAGACUCGUAGAGUCCGGAAAACAAAUUUUCGGCGAACGUAAUCUGGAUGGAUGUGCGCAGUAACAAUUGGAACUUUGUGGAUUUUGUACAAAUUUUGGCGAUUCGGCGACAGGAAGAGCUCCAGCAGGUCAUUGUUCUGGAGAAAGUUUCACCCCUGUCCAUCCAGUCCACCGGCGAGAGUUUCGGCCGGGUUUUACUACGCCCGUGAAUUAUCGAAGCCAUCGGAUUAUAUUGAUAUUUGACCAGAAGUCGAUAAACAAAAGGGGCAGUUUUGAGUAAUAAAGCUACUUUAUAAAUAGUACAGCUGUGUGGAUAGAUGAGCUGCCAUGGGCGAUAGUUUCGACUUCUAUACCAGUAGUUUCACUGACACGGAUGGAUUGAGCGAGAACGUAGCAACAAGUCCCAUACUGCCACUCUAUGAAUGGAAGUGCACUACAAAUAAAAAAUCGUCUGUUUA